rnacentral:rRNA from 1 species
UACGAAGGGGGCGAGCGUUGUUCGGAUUUACUGGGCGUAAAGGGCGCGCAGGCGGCUCAUUUUGUCAGGCGUGAAAGCCCCGGGCUUAACCUGGGAACUGCGUUUGAUACGGAUGGGCUAGAGUUCGGGAGAGGAGAGUGGAAUUCCCAGUGUAGAGGUGAAAUUCGUAGAUAUUGGGAAGAACACCCGUGGCGAAGGCGGCUCUCUGGGACGGUACUGACGCUGAGACGCGAAAGCGUGGGGAGCGAACAGG